rnacentral:tRNA from 2 species
GGAGGGGUGGGUGAGUGGUUAAAGCCACCAGACUGUAAAUCUGGCGUCCGGAAGGACUUCGCAGGUUCGAAUCCUGCCCCCUCCACCA